rnacentral:lncRNA from 1 species
AGUUGAGAUUUAGGUUGUAUUAAAUUGUUCUAACCUUUUGUACAAGGAAUGGUUCUGAGGAACGCAGCUCUGAUAUUAACUGUAACAGCUCAAAAAUUUAAUUGAAGGAUAAUAUUAAUUUAAUAAGAUAUUAGCAGAAGCAAUAUUUAGAGUUUACAUUCUUUGCAUAGUUUAACUAGAAUGCCCAAUAGAGCUCCGGAAAUGUCCCUUGAAGGAAAUUAAAGUAAUAAAAAGAAAAAUGCAAUUAGAAACCUAUAGGGUCGACCUCCGCAGCACAACUGGUAGGAAACGGGAGGGGAUACAGGCUCACCGGAGGGGUUUUGGGUCAUGGGUACUGCAGCUUAGUCGAGCUCUGCCCUCGAU